rnacentral:rRNA from 1 species
UACAGAGGGUGCAAGCGUUGUUCGGAAUCACUGGGCGUAAAGGGCGUGUAGGCGGUCCGCUAAGUCUGAUGUGAAAGCCCGGGGCUCACCCCCGGAAGGGCAUUGGAAACUGGCGGACUCGAGUCCCGGAGAGGAAGGUGGAAUUCCUGGUGUAGCGGUGAAAUGCGUAGAUAUCAGGAGGAAUACCGGUGGCGAAGGCGGCCUUCUGGACGGUGACUGACGCUGAGACGCGAAAGCGUGGGGAGCAAACAGG